GGGACUGAUAGGGUUUCUACAUGUUAAUAGAUUGAAUAAGCUUUAGCUCAUUUAUAAUUCUUAUUCAAAUAAGAAUUUCAAUAAAAAAAAUUUAUUGAAUUUAUAUUAUAGCUGCAAAACAUAAUAUAGUCGUUUUUUCUGGGAGUUUAGCGCAAGCGUAAACUUGUAGAAUAUUAAAAUAUAUAUUCUAUAUAUUUAAUAGUUAUUUAAGAAUGCUCUGAUUAUCAAUUAAAUUUGUUAUAUAUUUUAGUAAAUUUAUUUGUUCUCAUGUAAAGUAAAUUUAUUAUUCUGUACGAAUUUUUGUUCUUAUAAAUUAGUUAUUAAUUAAGACAUAUUACUUUGUAUUAACAUGGACGUGGGUUCGAGUCCCACCAGUUCCA
rnacentral:tmRNA from 1 species